AUCUUUCCAGUUCAUACAAAUGAUGAUUGGUUUAUUCACAGCUAUUGUGAGAUGCGUUACCUUUCUUGUUACGCAAAACGCAUAAACCGUCUGACU
ensembl:snoRNA